rnacentral:rRNA from 1 species
GAUGAACGCUGGCGGCGUGCCUAAUACAUGCAAGUCGAGCGAACGGACGAGAAGCUUGCUUCUCUGAUGUUAGCGGCGGACGGGUGAGUAACACGUGGAUAACCUACCUAUAAGACUGGGAUAACUUCGGGAAACCGGAGCUAAUACCGGAUAAUAUUUUGAACCGCAUUGUUCAAAAGUGAAAGACGGUCUUGCUGUCACUUAUAGAUGAAUCCGCGCUGCAUUAGCUAGUUGGUAAGGUAACGGCUUACCAAGGCAACGAUGCAUAGCCGACCUGAGAGGGUGAUCGGCCACACUGGAACUGAGACACGGUCCAGACUCCGACGGGAGGCAGCAGUAGGGAAUCUUCCGCAAUGGGCGAGAGCCUGACGGAGCAACGCCGCGUGAGUGAUGAAGGUCUUCGGAUCGUAAAACUCUGUUGGUAGGGAAGAACAUAUGUGUAAGUAACUGUGCACAUCUUGACGGUACCGAGUCAGAAAGCCACGGCUAACUACGUG